UACGAAGGGGGCUAGCGUUGCUCGGAAUCACUGGGCGUAAAGGGCUCGUAGGCGGCCAACUAAGUCGGACGUGAAAUCCCCAGGCUCAACCUGGGAACUGCAUCCGAUACUGGAUGGCUUGAAUUCGGGAGAGGGAUGCAGAAUUCCAGGUGUAGCGGUGAAAUGCGUAGAUAUCUGGAGGAAUACCGGUGGCGAAGGCGGCAUCCUGGACCGACAUUGACGCUGAGGAGCGAAAGCCAGGGGAGCAAACGGG
rnacentral:rRNA from 1 species